rnacentral:rRNA from 1 species
UAUUGGACUACCAUGGCGUUCACGGGUAACGGAGAAUUAGGGUUCGAUUCCGGAGAGGGAGCCUGAGAAACGGCUACCACAUCUAAGGAAGGCAGCAGGCGCGUAAAUUACCCAAUCCUGAUUCAGGGAGGUAGUGACAAGAAAUAACGGACUAAGACCUUCGGGUUUUAGGAUUGCAAUGAACCGAAUUUACACCCCUUAGUGAGGAUCGAUUGGAGGGCAAGUCUGGUGCCAGCAGCCGCGGUAAUUCCAGCUCCAAUAGCGUAUAUUAAAGUUGUUGCAGUUAAAAAGCUCGUAGUUGGAUUUCUGGGAGGGUGCCAAUGUCCGCCGACGUGCGUGUGCAGCGGCGCCCUUUCAUCCUUCUGUUAACGCCUCUCGGCGUUCAUUUGCUGGUGGCGGGCUCAGAUAUUUUACCUUGAGAAAAUUAGAGUGUUUCAGGCAGGCUAGGCCGGAAUACAUUAGCAUGGAAUAAUGGAAUACGACUACGGUCUCUUUGUUGGUUUGAGGGACUGCAGUAAUGAUUAAUAGGGAUAGUUGGGGCCAUUAGUACUUAACUGCCAGAGGUGGAAUUCUCGGAUUUGUUAAAGACUAACUUAUGCGAAAGCAUUUGCCAAGGAUGUUUUCA